GGUCAAGCGAACAAGUGCAUGUGGUGGAUGCCUUGGCGAUCACAGGCGAUGAAGGACGCGGUAGCCUGCGAAAAGCUACGGGGAGCUGGCAAACGAGCUUUGAUCCGUAGAUGUCCGAAUGGGGAAACCCACUCCGAAUGGAGUAUCCAUGACUGAAUACAUAGGUCAUGUGAAGCGAACGCGGUGAACUGAAACAUCUAAGUAACCGCAGGAAAAGAAAUCAACCGAGAUUCCCAGAGUAGUGGCGAGCGAAAUGGGAUCAGCCUGUACUCUUUAUCUUCAUUGUUAGUCGAAGGCUCUGGAAAGUGCCGCCAUAGCAGGUGAUAGCCCUGUAGACGAAAACAGCGAGGAAGAACUAGGUGUACGACAAGUAGGGCGGGACACGUGAAAUCCUGUCUGAAGAUGGGGGGACCAUCCUCCAAGGCUAAAUACUCGUGAUCGACCGAUAGUGAACCAGUACCGUGAGGGAAAGGCGAAAAGAACCCCGGGAGGGGAGUGAAAUAGAUCCUGAAACCGCAUGCAUACAAACAGUAGGAGCCUCGCAAGGGGUGACUGCGUACCUUUUGUAUAAUGGGUCAGCGACUUACAUUCAGUGGCAAGCUUAACCGAUUAGGGCAGGCGUAGCGAAAGCGAGUCCGAACAGGGCGAUUCAGUCGCUGGGUGUAGACCCGAAACCAGGUGAUCUAUCCAUGGCCAGGAUGAAGGUGCGGUAACACGUACUGGAGGUCCGAACCCACUAACGUUGAAAAGUUAGGGGAUGAGCUGUGGAUAGGGGUGAAAGGCUAAACAAACCUGGAAAUAGCUGGUUCUCUCCGAAAACUAUUUAGGUAGUGCCUCGUGUAUCACCUUCGGGGGUAGAGCACUGUCAUGGUUGUGGGGUCCAUUGCGGAUUACUACGCCAUAGCAAACUCCGAAUACCGAAGAGUGCAAUCACGGGAGACAGACAUCGGGUGCUAACGUCCGGUGUCAAGAGGGAAACAACCCAGACCGCCAGCUAAGGUCCCCAAAUAUUGCUAAGUGGGAAACGAAGUGGGAAGGCUAAAACAGUCAGGAGGUUGGCUUAGAAGCAGCCAUCCUUUAAAGAAAGCGUAAUAGCUCACUGAUCGAGUCGUCCUGCGCGGAAGAUGUAACGGGGCUAAGCAAUAUACCGAAGCUGCGGAUGCACAUUUAUGUGCAUGGUAGGAGAGCGUUCCGUAAGCCUGCGAAGGUGCACUGGAAAGUGUGCUGGAGGUAUCGGAAGUGCGAAUGCUGACAUGAGUAGCGAUAAAGGGGGUGAAAAGCCCCCUCGCCGUAAGCCCAAGGUUUCCUACGCAACGUUCAUCGGCGUAGGGUGAGUCGGCCCCUAAGGCGAGGCAGAAAUGCGUAGCUGAUGGGAAGCAGGUUAAUAUUCCUGCACCAUUGUUAAAUGCGAUGGGGGGACGGAUCGCGGAAGGUUGUCCGGGUGUUGGAAGUCCCGGUCCUUGCAUUGGAGAAGGCGCUUAGGCAAAUCCGGGCGCGGAAUUCAAGGGUGCGAGGCCAUUCACUUCGGUGAAGAAGCAAUCGGAAGUGGUUCCAAGAAAAGCCUCUAAGCUUCAGUUUAACAAGACCGUACCGCAAACCGACACAGGUGGGCGAGAUGAGUAUUCUAAGGCGCUUGAGAGAACUCGGGAGAAGGAACUCGGCAAAUUGGUACCGUAACUUCGGGAUAAGGUACGCCCUGUAGCUUGACUGGCUCGCGCCAGAAGGGUGAAGGGGUUGCAAUAAACUGGUGGCUGCGACUGUUUAAUAAAAACACAGCACUCUGCAAACACGAAAGUGGACGUAUAGGGUGUGACGCCUGCCCGGUGCCGGAAGAUUAAAUGAUGGGGUGCAAGCUCUUGAUUGAAGUCCCGGUAAACGGCGGCCGUAACUAUAACGGUCCUAAGGUAGCGAAAUUCCUUGUCGGGUAAGUUCCGACCUGCACGAAUGGCGUAACGAUGGCCACACUGUCUCCUCCCGAGACUCAGCGAAGUUGAAGUGUUUGUGAUGAUGCAAUCUCCCCGCGGCUAGACGGAAAGACCCCAUGAACCUUUACUGUAGCUUUGCAUUGGACUUUGAACCGAUCUGUGUAGGAUAGGUGGGAGGCUAUGAAGCGUGGACGCCAGUCUGCGUGGAGCCGUCCUUGAAAUACCACCCUGGUUUGUUUGAGGUUCUAACCUUGGUCCGUAAUCCGGAUCGGGGACAGUGCAUGGUAGGCAGUUUGACUGGGGCGGUCUCCUCCCAAAGUGUAACGGAGGAGUACGAAGGUACGCUAGGUACGGUCGGAAAUCGUGCUGAUAGUGCAAUGGCAUAAGCGUGCUUAACUGCGAGACCGACAAGUCGAGCAGGUGCGAAAGCAGGUCAUAGUGAUCCGGUGGUUCUGUAUGGAAGGGCCAUCGCUCAACGGAUAAAAGGUACUCUGGGGAUAACAGGCUGAUACCGCCCAAGAGUUCAUAUCGACGGCGGUGUUUGGCACCUCGAUGUCGGCUCAUCUCAUCCUGGGGCUGUAGCCGGUCCCAAGGGUAUGGCUGUUCGCCAUUUAAAGAGGUACGUGAGCUGGGUUUAAAACGUCGUGAGACAGUUUGGUCCCUAUCUGCCGUGGGCGCUGGAUAUUUGAAGGGGGCUGCUCCUAGUACGAGAGGACCGGAGUGGACGAACCUCUGGUGUACCGGUUGUCACGCCAGUGGCAUCGCCGGGUAGCUAUGUUCGGAAGAGAUAACCGCUGAAAGCAUCUAAGCGGGAAACUCGCCUUAAGAUGAGAUAUCCCCGGGGCUUCGAGCCCCUUGAAGGGUCGUUCAAGACCAGGACGUUGAUAGGUCAGGUGUGGAAGCGCAGUAAUGCGUUAAGCUAACUGAUACUAAUUGCCCGUAAGGCUUGAUCCU
rfam:Burkholderia sp. AD24 chromosome I sequence.